CACGCAGGGGAGAGGCCAUGCAGGGGAGAGGUCACAAUGGGGAGAGGCCGCAGGGGGGAGAGGUCACAUGGGGCAGAGGCCACGCGGGGGAGAGGCCACGCAGGGGAGAGGUCACAUGGGGGAGGACACGCAGGGGAGAGGUCACAAGGGGGAGAGGCCGCAGGGGGAGAGGUCACAUGGGGGAGAGGCUACACAGGGGAGAGGCCGCACGCUGGGGAGAUGGUCCCUGCGGGAAGACUCCGAGGCAGUCUCCUGCAGCUCCUUCCGGCGAAUCCGGUUCAGGAAGUAAAACCAGCCCUGUGUAGAGGCAGGCGAGUGGAACCACAGGUGCUUCCCGUCCUGGUCACAAAGUCAGAGUGGCUGGGCCAAGUGUCCUGAGAAGAGUCACCUCCUGGGAUCCCAUCAGCCUGGCCAUAGCAGAACACCCAGACAGGGGCCCAUCCCCGAGGCUCAACUCAACGCAUGCAGCCACUGUAGAAAAGUCUGGAAAGUAGUUCUUCAACCGACUAGACAUGGUGAGCCCAAAACCCAGCCAUGACACUCCUAGGCAUCUGCCCCAGAGGAAUGAAAGCAUCCAUCCCCUGCAAACUCAUCCUUACACAGCAGCGUGACUCAAGACGGCCAAAGGCGGAAACACCCCAAACGUCCAUCAGUGGACAAACGGGCAGAUGCAAUGCACUGUCUGUACCGUGGGAUGUCACUCAGCCAUAUGAAGGAAAGACUCCAGUGUGGAUGAGCCCUGGAACCACGGUGCUGCGUGAUCCCGUAACACAUGGCCAGAACAGACACGGCCCGGAACCUGAGGCCGGGAGGAUGCGUGCAGGUGGCGGGGAGACAGAGGGGCGAUGGCCCAGUUUCUUUUGGGCUGAAAAUGGUCUAAAGUUGACUGUGGUGAUGGCUGUACAACUUUGAAUAUGCUGAAAACUCGAAUUACACACUUCAGUUGGGCGAACUGUACUCCAUGUGAAUUACCUCUCGAUGGUUCUCUCCUGGGCUCAGGCGCUUCUCCCACCUUGGCCUCCUGAGUAGCUGGAACUACCAUUCAUGUGCGGAAAUAAAACAACUCGGUCUCAAAAAAAACUCAACUCAAAACUCAGUCUCAAAAAUAAAAAAAUAAAAAAGUAAAAGAGGCUACCAAUAGGAGAGGAAUUCAGUCAUUCAUGUCAUAAGCACAAUGCGGUUAUUUAAAACAAUUCUGAAUAUGGGGAAACGUGCACCCAGCAGGGCCUGGAAACAGCCAGAGCGUGACAGUGCCGGCGCAGCCAUGAAAAACCCCUCCCUGUGAACACACAUGUGAAAGAAGAUGCAAAGUCACUGUGGCUUCCAGUUUCACAACUGCAAUUCGGCAUCUCUAAUUUGCUUUUUUCCAGAAAC
rnacentral:lncRNA from 1 species